rnacentral:tRNA from 1 species
GACUGUGUGACCUGCUGGAUAAGGCAUCUGACUUCAAGUCAAAAGAUUGAGGGUUCAAAUCCUUUCAUGGUUG